GGCUGUCGCUCUUUUUGCGUGAUGCCGGACGCUGUUGUGCUUUGCUUUUGGUGCGGGGACAAUCAGCUGCCAUCCGCCUUGCCCGGGGUUCUGCUGACGUUCGGCCUCACUGCAUCGUCCUCUCUGUCCAGGCUAUGCGCUGCGGGCCGCUCCGAUGAGCCGAGGAGGGCUGCGCGGCAGGGCCUUCCUCCCUCUAUUCUUCCGUAACCGGGCUCGGCAUGGCAGCAUCCCAGCAUGGAAGGUGAUAGUGGUGCGUGGUGACAGACACGUCUCGGCAGCGUUGGGCAGGUGAGGGUUUCUUGCUGCUGGGACGCCUGCUGAGCUGAUGCUGAGCCCGCAGGAUAGACACGAGGAACGGCUACGUGGAAAAGGCCAGGAGCUUGUGAGCACUGUCCCAGUGAGGGGACUAGGUUUGCUUUCCCGAGGGCCUGAGCUGUGGGGGCAGUAGUAACGUGGACCCACGUCUCUGCAGCCUGUGCAUCUGAGGUAAGCUGGUCCCCAAGGGCUUCAGUGCUGCAGAGCAGGACUUCGUUCUUUUCCAGCUGUCUCCUCCAGAAGUGGGAGGUUGGUGUAGCCAGAUCUGGCCUCUUCCCAAACUGUGAACUCCCCUGAGGGGUGGGAACAGCUGCUCCUGGGCUCUGUUCACCUGCACCACAGGGAAGAGGGAUCUGGUCUGGCUGCAGGUGCUCUUCAGAAGUACAUUUAAAUGCUCUAUUGCUCUUGUGGAGAUUCCUCAGAAGAACUUAGGAAAGGGUCCAGAUAUGAAAUAUUUUCAAUAAACUCAGUUACUCACCCUG